rnacentral:lncRNA from 1 species
UUUGAUGGAAAUCAAUUUAGCGGGAGCAUUCCAUUAACAUUAGGACUUGUUCAGACACUUGAGGUUCUGUGAGUAUCACGACCCAAAAUCUAAUCAUGAUCGUGAUGGCGCCUAUCGUGUUACAAGGCAAGCCAAUUCCCAAAAUAUUACUACGAAUCGACCAUCUUUCAUUAGUGUACCUUUCAUAUUACUUCACCUUUUUUAUUUUGGAUUAUAUGCUAGAACUGUUUUAUCUUUAGUUGGUAUUCAUGUGACUUCAUAUAUACAGUCGGCUUGAU